UACGUAGGGUCCGAGCGUUGUCCGGAAUUACUGGGCGUAAAGAGCUCGUAGGCGGCUUGUUGCGUCAGCUGUGAAAACCCGCAGCUCAACUGUGGGCUUGCAGCUGAUACGGGCAGGCUUGAGUUCGGUAGGGGAGACUGGAAUUCCCGGUGUAGUGGUGAAAUGCGUAGAGAUCGGGAGGAACACCAGUGGCGAAGGCGGCUCGCUGGGCCGGUCCUGACACUGAGGCGCGAAGGCGUGGGGAGCGAACAGG
rnacentral:rRNA from 1 species